GACGAACGCUGGCGGCGUGCCUAAUACAUGCAAGUAGAACGCUGAAGGAGGAGCUUGCUCUUCUGGAUGAGUUGCGAACGGGUGAGUAACGCGUAGGUAACCUGCCUGGUAGCGGGGGAUAACUAUUGGAAACGAUAGCUAAUACCGCAUAAAAUUGAUUAUUGCAUGAUAGUCAAUUAAAAGGUGCAAUUGCAUCACUACCAGAUGGACCUUCGUUGUAUUAGCUAGUUGGUGAGGUAACGGCUCACCAAGGCAACGAUACAUAGCCGACCUGAGAGGGUGAUCGGCCACACUGGGACUGAGACACGGCCCAGACUCCUACGGGAGGCAGCAGUAGGGAAUCUUCGGCAAUGGACGGAAGUCUGACCGAGCAACGCCGCGUGAGUGAAGAAGGUUUUCGGAUCGUAAAGCUCUGUUGUAAGAGAAGAACGAGUGUGAGAGUGGAAAGUUCACACUGUGACGGUAUCUUACCAGAAAGGGACGGCUAACUACGUG
rnacentral:rRNA from 1 species